UCUUCCUCCCCCUCCGCCUCCUCGCCGGCUUCCUCUUCCUCCUCCCUCCGGCACGGCAUGGCCCCCCGUCCUGGCACCCGGAGCUGUGCGGGCUUCGCUGGGGGCUUGGUUGCCCGCGGGCGCGGAGCUGCGGGCGAAGCCGGAGCAGGGGCGGACGCGGAAGCCGGAGCCCGCCAGGCACUCGAGCCACGCGCCUGCAGCCGCUGGAGCCGGAAUCCUGCCGGCUCGGGUUGAUUUGUAAACAAUGGGUGACGUCGCGCCGGGCCCUACCACCGCACCGGGGCGGGGGUGACGCGCGAGCAGGCACGGGGGCAAAGGGCGGCGCGGGCGGUGACCGAAGCCGUCCCGCGCCUGUGUUCGUUGUCCCUCCAGGAGGGGGUCCGGGGCGUGGGGACUGAUUUCCGACCUCCCGGGCCCAACGAGCCGUGCUGAAACGUGGCGCCUCGGAGGAGGCUGAGAUUCCUGCAGGUAGACACCAAGGAUCUCCUCAGAGCCAGCGCUGAUCUCAUCCACAGAGGGAUCACAUGACCUCAUCUGGGAAAAUAUAAACCCUACCCACCUGCCUGCCCAUUUGGAAAUGCAGACUGGAGGACGCUAAGUUCAUUCUUACCUAUGUACUAACAAGUACACAAGAAGAUGCUCAAUAUCAUUAGUCCUUGGGGAAAUGCAAAUUAGAUUAUAAUGAGAUUCCAGUGUACACCCACUAGAAGGCUAUUAAAAAGGACAAUACCAACUGUUGGCAACAAUGUGGAGAAAUGGAACCCCUCCUACGUUUCUGAUGAGAAUGUAAAAUGGUGCAGAUACUUUGGAAAACAGUUUGGCAAUUUAUUAAAAGAUUAAAUAAGCAUAAACUUACUAUAUGACCCAGUAAUUCCACUCUUAGGACUCUGCUCAAGGGAAAUGAAAAUAUACAUCCACACAAAGACUUACACGAGAAUGUUCAUAGCAGCAUUAGAUAUAGUUCAAAACUGGGAAACAAUCCAGAGGUCCAACUAGCAAAUGGAUUUAAAAAUGUGGGGCUGGGGCUGGGCGCGAUGGCUCACACCUGUAAUCCCAGCACUUUG
rnacentral:lncRNA from 1 species